rnacentral:misc_RNA from 1 species
UUAAACAUGCGUCUAACACCGGGCUUGCUGACUUGCACUGCCAUGAUCACUACACACGGCUUUCUGAUUUGAUAUGCAAUUAAUAAUGUUGCGUUUAAAAAUCUCGUCGUUGGAUUGCUGCUGAGGGUGGCUGGUUUACCCUCUGGAUGAGUAGUUGGCGCACUGAAGCAUUUGUCUUGAAAGCACAACUAAACUUGACUGUGUGGUGUGUGAUCGAGAACAUUUGAUUUGAGCCAAUAAACAUGUUUCAAGCAGGUGUGUAGCCUUGAAUACAUUAGCAUGGAAUAAUACUUAAGACCGUGUGCAUCUACAUGUGCAUGUCCAUGUCCAUGUCCAUGUAUACGCAUAUGUAUAUGUAUCCGUAUGUAUGUAUGUGUAUAUAUAUGUAUGGGUGUAUGAAU